GACGGGGGGUCCUAGCGUUGUUCGGAAUUAUUGGGCGUAAAGCGUGUGCAGGUUGUUUAAAAAGUUAGAUGUGAAAUCCUUGGGCUCAACCCAAGACGUGCAUUUAAAACUGUUAGACUUGAGUAUGGAAGAGGGUCGUGGAAUUCCAGGUGUAGUGGUGAAAUACGUAGAUAUCGGGAGGAACACCUGUGGCGAAAGCGGCUCACUGGACCACAACUGACGCUGAGGCGCGAAAGCUAGGGGAGCAAACAGG
rnacentral:rRNA from 1 species